CAGCCGCCGCGGUAAUACGUAGGUGGCAAGCGUUGUCCGGAAUUAUUGGGCGUAAAGGGCUCGCAGGCGGUUUCUGAAGUCUGAUGUGAAAGCCCCCGGCUCAACCGGGGAGGGUCAUUGGAAACUGGGAAACUUGAGUGCAGAAGAGGAGAGUGGAAUUCCACGUGUAGCGGUGAAAUGCGUAGAGAUGUGGAGGAACACCAGUGGCGAAGGCGACUCUCUGGCCUGUAACUGACGCUGAGGAGCGAAAGCGUGGGGAGCGAACAGGAUUAGAUACCCCGGUAGUCCCUGUCUCUUAUAC
rnacentral:rRNA from 1 species